AUUGAACGCUGGCGGAAUGCUUUACACAUGCAAGUCGAACGGCAGCACGGGGCAACCUGGUGGCGAGUGGCGAACGGGUGAGUAAUACAUCGGAACGUGCCCAGUCGUGGGGGAUAACGUAGCGAAAGUUACGCUAAUACCGCAUACGAUCUAAGGAUGAAAGCGGGGGAUCGCAAGACCUCGCGCGAUUGGAGCGGCCGAUGUCAGAUUAGGUAGUUGGUGGGGUAAAGGCCCACCAAGCCGACGAUCUGUAGCUGGUCUGAGAGGACGACCAGCCACACGGGGACUGAGACACGGCCCAGACUCCUACGGGAGGCAGCAGUGGGGAAUUUUGGACAAUGGGCGCAAGCCUGAUCCAGCCAUUCCGCGUGCAGGAUGAAGGCCUUCGGGUUGUAAACUGCUUUUGUACGGAGCGAAAAGGCUCUCUCUAAUACUAGGGGCUCAUGACGGUACUGUAAGAAUAAGCACCGGCUAACUACGUGCCAGCAGCCGCCGUAA
rnacentral:rRNA from 1 species